CCCAGAUACAGCCCUGAAGGAAGCUGACAAGGACACCGCCACUGUCCUGGAGCGGAGAGGGUGGGGUGUUGAGCAUCAGCCCCGCCCACUUCUCCCAUUUAUUUGUUUUGGAUUUUGUUUAACUUUGAAGCAGGGUCUGCUUACUCAGCCCAGGCUGGUCUGGAACUUGGCAAACCAUUUGGGCUGAGAUUACAUGGGAACACCUCCACGCUGGUCUCUGCUUAAAUAAGGGUGCGGAGGACCAGAAACAUGGAAGAUCAAAGUCCCCAGCCGCUGAGCACGGAGACAUGAUUUGAAUCCGGACCUUCCAGGCUUCUCAGUUAGAGCUCAGGGAAGUAGGGUCCUCGCCACCUGAGGGGAGGGUGCUGGAGCCCACCGGAGGGGUGCCAGGUUCCAUCUGUGCCCCAGAUGCAGGCAGUGACUGGGGCGUGGAGUCAGGGGCUGAGGUGGCCGCAGCUGUAGAGGGAUGGAUGCUCUCUGAACUCAGGCUGUUCCUUGUCCUUGUUUGGAAUUUCCUCCUUGACGUAAAAGCUGUGAGUCACGGUCUCAACACUUGUCUAGAUUGCACAACCCACAACGAUGAUUGCAGACGCUGUCAUGCCUCCCGCCAGCCUGGUUUCAACAGUCACGAUCGGUCACGAUUCCCUUUCUCUGUCCCGGACGUGAGGGAUUUCAUUUGGAAGGAUAACAGAGCAAUACAGGAAGAGGAAUGCCACCAGAAUCACCAGGGUCCUGUCUCCUGUUCCCCUUGCGCGCAUAGAGUGUGUCUAGAGAUCACGGUGGCAAACCUUCUCUGGCAGAUCUCCAUAAAGAUGGAGAGAAGAGCACCUCCUUCCAGCCCGCCUCAGGCACCAAGGACUUGUGUAUCUUUGAGUCACAGAAAAACUUAGUGACAUCGUCAGCCAUAGCUACCAUGGAUGCCACUUUACAAGAAGGAAAAGAGAGGCCAGGAAGUGAGCCACAGAAGACACGAAUCACCACAGCUGCUGCCACAAGGAUCACCACAGAUUGUACUCAUUAGCAUUCAUUUAUCUUAGUUAUUACUGCACACGUGUGUGCAGGCAUGCUCAUCACACGCGUGGAACCAGAGGACAACUUUGUAGAGAUGUCUCUUCCUUCCAUCUGUAAGUGCAUUCUGGGAUAGAACUCGGACCAUCAUGCUUUGCUCCAAGUACUUUUAGAGC